AGUCGCUGCAGCAACGGUGGGCUGUACAACUCCCAUCGUCUGGCACCCGGCACACCCGCCGCUUGCCAACUCUCCCCCCGCGCAUACCUGGCUGCAGCGACUGACCCUUUCCUCCAGGGCGCAU
rnacentral:ncRNA from 1 species